GUGUCAGCAGCCGCGGUAAUACGAAGGGGGCUAGCGUUGUUCGGAAUUACUGGGCGUAAAGGGCGCGCGGGCGGCUUUGCAAGUUAGGCGUGAAAGGCCUGGGCUUAACCUGGGAAUGGCGCUUAAGACUGCGGAGCUUGAGGGUGGGAGGGGAUGGUGGAAUUCCCAGUGUAGAGGUGAAAUUCGUAGAUAUUGGGAAGAACACCGAUGGCGAAGGCGGCCAUCUGGACCACAUCUGACGCUGAGGCGCGAAAGCGUGGGGAGCAAACAGGAUUAGAUACCCUGGUAGUCCACGCUGUAAACGAUGCGUGCUAGACGCUGGAGGGUUGCCUUUCGGUGUCGCAGCUAACGCUUUAAGCACGCCGCCUGGGGAGUACGGUCGCAAGAUUAAA
rnacentral:rRNA from 1 species